UACGUAGGUGGCAAGCGUUGUCCGGAUUUACUGGGCGUAAAGAGCGCGCAGGCGGCCAAGUCAGUCGAAUGUGAAAGCCCCCGGCUCAACUGGGGAGGGUCAUUCGAUACUGCUCGGCUCGAAGACAGGAGAGGGAAGUGGAAUUCCCGGUGUAGUGGUGAAAUGCGUAGAUAUCGGGAGGAACACCUGUGGCGAAGGCGGCCCCCUGGUUGGAUACUGACGCUGAUACGCGAAAGCGUGGGGAGCAAACAGG
rnacentral:rRNA from 1 species